rnacentral:rRNA from 1 species
AUUGAACGCUGGCGGCAGGCCUAACACAUGCAAGUCGAACGAGUGGCAGACGGGUGAGUUAUGUCUGGGAAACUGCCUGAUGGUUGGGGUUAACUAGUGGCAACGGUUGCUAAUACCGCAUACCAUCCGAUGCGCCCUGAUGGGAUUAGCUUGUUGGUGGGGUAACGGCUCACCAGGGCGACGAUCCCUAGCUGGUCUGAGAGGAUGACCAGCCACACUGGAACUGAGACACGGUCCAGACUCCUACGCGAGGCAGCAGGGGGGAAUAUUGCACAAUGGGCGCAAGCCGGAUGCAGCCAUGCCGCGUGUAUGAAGAAGGGCUGCGGGUUGUAAAGUACUUUCAGCAGGGAGGCGUUACCCGCAGAGGAAGCACCGGCUAACUUCGUGCCAGCCGGCGCGGUAAUUC